GAAAAUAAUUGGAUUUCCCCAUUUGCUUGAGGCUCUGGAUUACAAGUAAUAAUGUCUGACGGCAGCCAUUGACCUACAGUAAAUCUUGGAUGACCUGAGGACUUCACGGAUGCAGUGCAGUUGCCAAGGCAACGUCGCCAGGCAGCCGAGUGUGAGAGAAAGUGAAGCGGACUGACUUUACUCUUACACAGAAACACUUAUAUUCUUAUGGGGGUUAUUUAAAGACAUUGCAACGCUUCAUCUACUCAGCGUAUUCAAUUAACCCUCUGUGUGGAGAGACUACAUUUUAGUCAAUUGCUAUGCAGUUGCUUAGUUGUUCUGGUUGAGAUUAAGCGUGUUUUAAGUGGUUGCUAGUGUAUGUGACAUUUUAUCCAACGGUUUUAACAUAAACAAAUAAUGCAUAGAAAAGUUAAACAAGCUACCAGGUUACAAACCAGACUUAUCAUUAGGGGUUUGUUCAAAUCACUACCCCAACUAAGAGCCCACGUAAUAGUGAUGCUUGGCUAAGCAAACAAAGCUAACCACAACCUGUCUUUUGUUCUUAAGAUGGUGCCAUGUGAAUUACACGCUAGCAGCACUUAAUUGCAGUGUAGCAUCUGAUGCCAUCAAUAGCUUUUGGAAACAUUGGUAUUAAUGUUCAGUCUACGUCUGACAGCCUGUGCUAGGCACUCAAAAUGAUGACUCCCAACAUGUUAUCAGCUGAGUGUCUCCGUAGAGCUUCAUAGCAUCUCUUCACAUUAGCUCGCAGCGGCAAGCGUCGUAAGAGCCAAUUGGAAAAGUGUCUAGAGUCAAC